AGAAAAGGUGUUUGAAAGAACAUCAUCUCAUGUCAAGCUCUGCUUAUGGAUGGGGAAACACACCCAGAAAACGGAGGGUAGAAGCGGCCGUUUUCCGAGAAUGUAUUGCCUGUACCUGGUGUUUCGCAUCAGUCAUCUCAUUAAAUCCGCACGUUUGUUUGGGAAGUAACUUUGAGCCAACUGGCUAACUCCAUUCAAUGGACAAUUUCCCCAAAGAACAACCUCAGUGAAAUGCCAUCUGCCAUCAUCUGAUUGGACCACCAAAUCCCAUUGGUAAUCUUAUUCUCUGAAGAGCUAUGUGCAGUGAGAGAGUUCACCUCAGAGGUCUAGUCCAGUGGACAUCCCUAACCAAAGGACAGUCUCCUCCCAUGGUCUAGCAGCUAGUCUUACCCCAGUUGGGCAGCCUUACUUCAAUGGAUACUUUGACCUAACAGAUAAUGUCAUCUAAUGGAAUUCUCACCCAAUAAACAGACUCUCGCAGUGG